CAGGCCUAACACAUGCAAGUCGAACGAAGGCUUCGGCCUUAGUGGCGCACGGGUGCGUAACGCGUGGGAAUCUGCCCCUUGGUUCGGAAUAACAGUUAGAAAUGACUGCUAAUACCGGAUGAUGACGUAAGUCCAAAGAUUUAUCGCCGAGGGAUGAGCCCGCGUAGGAUUAGCUAGUUGGUGUGGUAAAGGCGCACCAAGGCGACGAUCCUUAGCUGGUCUGAGAGGAUGAUCAGCCACACUGGGACUGAGACACGGCCCAGACUCCUACGGGAGGCAGCAGUGGGGAAUAUUGGACAAUGGGCGAAAGCCUGAUCCAGCAAUGCCGCGUGAGUGAUGAAGGCCUUAGGGUUGUAAAGCUCUUUUACCCGGGAUGAUAAUGACAGUACCGGGAGAAUAAGCCCCGGCUAACUCCGUGCCAGCAGCCGCGGUAAU
rnacentral:rRNA from 1 species